GACGAACGCUGGCGGCGUGCUUAACACAUGCAAGUCGAACGGAAAGGCCCUGCUUUUGUGGGGUGCUCGAGUGGCGAACGGGUGAGUAACACGUGAGUAACCUGCCCUUGACUUUGGGAUAACUUCAGGAAACUGGGGCUAAUACCGGAUAGGAGCUCCUGCUGCAUGGUGGGGGUUGGAAAGUUUCGGCGGUUGGGGAUGGACUCGCGGCUUAUCAGCUUGUUGGUGGGGUAGUGGCUUACCAAGGCUUUGACGGGUAGCCGGCCUGAGAGGGUGACCGGCCACAUUGGGACUGAGAUACGGCCCAGACUCCUACGGGAGGCAGCAGUGGGGAAUAUUGCACAAUGGGCGGAAGCCUGAUGCAGCAACGCCGCGUGCGGGAUGACGGCCUUCGGGUUGUAAACCGCUUUCGCCUGUGACGAAGCGUGAGUGACGGUAAUGGGUAAAGAAGCACCGGCUAACUACGUGCCAGCAGCCGCGGUGAUACGUAGGGUGCGAGCGUUGUCCGGAUUUAUUGGGCGUAAAGGGCUCGUAGGUGGUUGAUCGCGUCGGAAGUGUAAUCUUGGGGCUUAACCCUGAGCGUGCUUUCGAUACGGGUUGACUUGAGGAAGGUAGGGGAGAAUGGAAUUCCUGGUGGAGCGGUGGAAUGCGCAGAUAUCAGGAGGAACACCAGUGGCGAAGGCGGUUCUCUGGGCCUUUCCUGACGCUGAGGAGCGAAAGCGUGGGGAGCGAACAGGCUUAGAUACCCUGGUAGUCCACGCUGUAAACGGUGGGUACUAGGUGUGGGGUCCAUUCCACGGGUUCCGUGCCGUAGCUAACGCUUUAAGUACCCCGCCUGGGGAGUACGGCCGCAAGGCUAAAACUCAAAGGAAUUGACGGGGCCCCGCACAAGCGGCGGAGCAUGCGGAUUAAUUCGAUGCAACGCGUAGAACCUUACCUGGGUUUGACAUGGAUCGGGAGCGCUCAGAGAUGGGUGUGCCUCUUUUGGGGUCGGUUCACAGGUGGUGCAUGGCUGUCGUCAGCUCGUGUCGUGAGAUGUUGGGUUAAGUCCCGCAACGAGCGCAACCCUUGUUCACUGUUGCCAGCACGUUAUGGUGGGGACUCAGUGGAGACCGCCGGGGUCAACUCGGAGGAAGGUGGGGAUGACGUCAAGUCAUCAUGCCCCUUAUGUCCAGGGCUUCACGCAUGCUACAAUGGCUGGUACAGAGAGUGGCGAGCCUGUGAGGGUGAGCGAAUCUCGGAAAGCCGGUCUCAGUUCGGAUUGGGGUCUGCAACUCGACCUCAUGAAGUCGGAGUCGCUAGUAAUCGCAGAUCAGCAACGCUGCGGUGAAUAUGUUCCCGGG
rnacentral:rRNA from 1 species